GGGGCGGUAGCUCAGUCGGUCAGAGCAGAGGACUCAUAAUCCUCCGGUCGUGGGUUCGAGCCCCACCCGCCCUACCA
rnacentral:tRNA from 1 species